rnacentral:lncRNA from 1 species
UUUCAAUGAAACUUUUUUUUAAAUAGAAAAGACUAUUGAAACAUAAUGCUAAACUUCUGUCUAGUAAGAUUUCCCCCAUCACUCUCUCAUUAGUAUUAUGAGAAAACACUGGCUUUUCCUCAUCCCUAAGUAGCACUUGUGAUGACUGAGAGGUUAUGGUGACACUUCACUAUUUUCCUUUGCAUUUAUUUGACUACUAGUAAAACUUACUUCAUUCAAAGGUUUAAAGAAAGUGUAUUGGGCUUUUUAAAUGCAGGAUGAAAUUUAACUAACACUGGCUAUUCUUAUUACAUUUCUGGGCAGGGCAAUUCCCAGAAGACCUUGGAUUUGGAAUGACUUGGCAAUUAUUUGUAUAAGUUGGACAAAAAGAGAAGACUGAGGAGACUGGACAACAUAUAAAUGCAGGAGGAUGUUCAGUCUGGGAUGCCAGCAGACACGUGAUUUCAUAGAAAAAUCUUGAAAGUGAUUCCAUGGUCAGAAAUUUGAUUCUAUGGAUUUGCAUAAACUAUCUGUUUGGCUGGCCCAACUACUUGGAGAGUUUGCAGUAUAAAAACAGCACAAAAGGGUGGAGCGUGUCCACACUGGGCAAGAGAUUGACAAGCCCAUUUGUCACACCCAGGGGUUUAAUACUGAUGCAAAAGCUGUUGGUGAAUCAUGGAAUUGAGGGACCCCUUUGGGGAAACUUGUGGACAUGUGAGAAUGGAAGACAAUCACCCUGUGACACCACACUGACUUCACACCAUGUGAACCACAGCAGAGGUGGCAAGCACAACCUUGUGAUGCUGGAUGCAUAACUGAGUUACCACCUGAGGAUGCGCAUCUCUUGGGAACAUCAUCUUUCACUGCCACACUUCCUCACACCAUGCAGCCAAUCAAAGUGUUUCUCCCAACAAACACAGAGCCCUCAACCUGAGAAGAAUUCUGGUAAGUUUGUCUCCUUACAUUUCCCAUAAUGCUUUUAGUACCCCUUAUAACUAGUCCCUUGGAAAUGGCCUGAAUUAGAAGCAGGACCAGGGUGUCUCAAGUCAAAAUACAGUUUUCAGUCCUAGUUCUCUG